rnacentral:rRNA from 1 species
UACGUAGGGUGCGAGCGUUGUCCGGAAUUACUGGGCGUAAAGAGCUCGUAGGUGGUUUGUCGCGUUGUUCGUGAAAACUCACAGCUUAACUGUGGGCGUGCGGGCGAUACGGGCAGACUGGAGUACUGCAGGGGAGACUGGAAUUCCUGGUGUAGCGGUGGAAUUGCGCAGAUAUCAGGAGGAACACCGGUGGCGAAGGCGGGUCUCUGGGCAGUAACUGACGCUGAGGAGCGAAAGCGUGGGGAGCGAACAGG